UCUUAGUAUCCCAGACCAGGUAAGCAGUGACUAUUAUUUCAGCCAAGCAGGCGCUACUUCUGUGGCUCAGUGAAGUUAUGGUUGUUGUGGGAGGAGAGUGCCAGCCAGUGAGAAGUCAUGUGAUGCCCAUGGCCUGAAGGUAUGAGUACUCACCUGGAUGGGGAGCAGAAUUUUAGUCCUUGCUUUUGACCUGGCUGAAAGCUGGUGGUUAAGAGGUUCAUUUCCUGUAUUUCUAGCAGAUACAUCCCUUUUCCUGGGGCUGCAGAUGCUUCUUUGCUUGCCUGCUUUCUAAAGCUGAUCUUAGUGUCCAUGAGGUAAAUCCACAGGGUAAAUUCAUACACUAAUCCAGAGGUUCUCUUCCUGGCCUGUCAUGUGGAAAAAUGAAUGUGUUCAGGCACACUUUCUAGGUUUUUGGCUUCAUCACAGAACAUCUGUGUUUACAGCAGGCCAUUUUCCUGUUACAGCUGCUCUCCUUUUCAUUAACUGCCUUCUUAGUCCAGUAGUUUUGUCACUGACCUGACUUAGGAGAAAUGUGUUCAUAGCUGACAGGCUUCUGGCUAUUUGUGGAGCCACCGCUUCUUUCCCCCAUAAUGUUCUACUUUGUAUUAGGUCCACAUGCUGGAGGGGAUCCUGCCUGGCAUGUUAGCCCCCUUGUGAGUGCAAGGGAACAAACUCCAGUUACCUUACUGGGGAGGUUACUGGGCAUUUCUUAGUCUCUGCAGUGUCCUUCAUUUUCUGCCUGUCUUGCUUUAGCCUAAGGAGCUGCCGUGUAGAUCAGAGCAGGAGGUCAUCAGGAAACAGGGAGUGGUUGUUUCAGAGCCUUGUGCACUGUUGUGGUUUCAGGGGAGUGCAGAUGACUGAUGCUCUGGGUUCUGCUGUCCUACAGCCUGGAGCAAGGAUUGGGUCCUUAAGGUCCCAUGUGUGCUGCAGAUUGACCUAAACAUCGAACUAGCACUUUUACAACUAACUUUUACUGCCUUUUCUGUUAGCUAAUGCAAAGUGGAAACUACAACAGAAGAUAAUUCUCUAGAGCUGGUGAGUCCCUAUAAGCACAACUAGUGAAUCUGUCAUCACUUGCUGUGUGAGAAGCCAAAGUUAGCCUGGGGCAUUGUUCUUUUAUGUAACAGAGGGGAAGUGGCUCUGGUCCAGGUGAUCCAGAAGCCUGAGGAGCUAGACCAUCCUGUGAUGUUGGCCUGAUUAGCUGUAAAUAAUCCUGGCUGAACUGCCCUGUUCUGUGUCUUGUGCCCUUUGCUGUUUUUUUUCGGUGAGGGGAGGGGGAAGGACGUGUGUUUCCUAGCUACUAGGAGAUCUCCUGUGUUUAUGAAUGGGACUUACCCAUACUGUGAUCUGUGCAGAACUGGUUUUGGCAGAUGCAUGGAAUGAAGUAUGGAGGGAGAGAGUGGGUUUAUGAAUGCUUGUACAGAAGCAUCUGGAUGAUUAACUCAGCCAUUAGGUGGGAACAUUUAAAUCCUCAAAGGCAUUUGCUGUGGGAAAUGUGGGGUAAUCGUCUCCUCAAGCACCCAAGAAAGACAUGGUUAGAUGCUGACUUCUGCCUUAAUUGCACAUCAGGAAUUCAGGUGUCAUUUUUGAGUCUCACGUGGAAUAAUUUAUUCAGUAUCACAUAGGUUUAAACCUAGUCUUACUGCCAGGGUACCACCAUCAUCACUAGGCUAUUUUUACUACCUCAUCUGUAUCCACCAACGAGCUGGUGCAGUACAGUGAGGGCCCAGGUCAGUUUGCUCUUUCAGUCCCUCAGGAACAAAUGCUGAUCAGCUGUGGGGGGGCAGGAGCAGACACUGACCCAAGUCACAGAGGGUAUUCCAGGAUAGCACAGUUACUCUGUUCAGGUCCUCUCAUGGGAGCAUCUGAAGACUUGCAUGUUAGUUAACCUUUCCCAUAGUUACUAUAUGUGAAAGGUCUUUGAUCUAUGAAUGAGCCCAACACAUGGUGCUUGCUUACUGUAUGUUAAGAGCAGAGAUGUUAUUUUUAGCUCCUGAAUUAUUUUUCUGCUUCACUAUUAGAGCUGAAAGACCUUUCGUCCUUAAGACAGGCAACUGUUCACUACAUAGUGUAUUUGGGACAACGUGCUACAUAAGGCUAACACCUCUGUUGGGAACCACUUUUUUGCAAAAUGGGUAUAAGUGGCUUUUAAAAUAGUAAUUAAAAAUCUAAAUAUAGUUGUGUUUUAAAAAGAACUGUUAUCUUUGGAACAUGUAAUUUAGAGAACUCGCUGCAGUAAUCCUUGAUUUAGAACAAUUACUGCACUAAAGUACUUGCUUUUUUCCCUUUAAAAACAAAAACCAAAACCAAACCCCAAACCAAAAACCAGACAGGUUUCCAGCAAAGGCUGGGAUAAUUGACUGGAAUUGAAAUGUAACCAAGUCUUGCAAAACUCCAGUGGACUGUUGCUGUUCUCUCAGAGGUCUUUUCUCCUGCCAUCUGAGAGCAUUCGCAUGCCUGGUCGCUUGUUUUGCUUUCUUCAACAUAAUCACUAGUUGCUAGAAAUAAAUAUUGCAAGGACUAAUAUGCUGGUUACGUUCUUACAGUUGGGUUUGUGUGCAGUGCGUGCUGGUUUAAGAGGAAGCUGUUUUAUAACAUUUUUAAUUAUGAAACUUCUUAUGCAACAGAGUUUAAGGGUCAGUUAUAAACAAUCUAAUCACUAAGCUUCCUUAGGCAGUAACUCACCUAUGUAAUUUCUUGUAGCUCAAGCUUGACUCAGUCCAGUCUCACACCAAACAAGAUUCAGGAGCUAGAAUACAAGGAAGAAAAAGAAACUAAUCUUCCAAAAUCACUUUACUUCAAGUGAGCAAACAGCCAAACAGAGACGUUGCAUUUCCUGCAAGGGAAGACAGCCAAAAGUCUUCAGCCUUCGAAGUGCCCGUGCCUUCCUGGGCUUGCUUCUACCUUUGAGGGAUUCUACUCCAUCAAGCGUGAGCUAUUCUCUUUUUUUUUUUUUUUUUAAGCCAGACAAUUGACUUCAGUUUUAUUACAAAGCUUUUAUUAAAAAACAAAUGCUCAGCACAUUAACUCAAACUGGAAUGACAAAAAAAAAAUAAUUGGUUGACAGUAUUUUUGGCAAAGGCUGUGCCUUACUAUUUUAAAAAAUGGGUACAUCAAUGCUCAUUUCAACAACUGGCAUAAAAUCCCACUAACAGGCUAACAAAAACAGAUACAAAUACAGAACAAUUGAAGUAAUAAUUCAAGUGCUGGGCUUUUUACAAGGAGAAGGGAAUGGGUGAGAAGGAGAACUCACUGCAGUCAGAUUUGCUGGAUGUAUUGCUUAUGUUUACAGAGUAGAUGAUGCAAGACUGACGUGUCUACUGACCAGCUGACUGUUGUUACAUUUAUUUAAUUCUAUAGGACACUGUAUUAUAUAGACUGAGAGGCCACUAUUUGUUACAAAUAGUUUAACAAAAACACCACCUUUCUUCCAUACAGGUUUUUCCUCUGGCAGAAAAAAAAAAAAAAAGAAAAACCCCUUUUAUUUAAAAAGUAUUUCAGAUUU